AUUGAACGCUGGCGGCAGGCCUAACACAUGCAAGUCGAGCGGGGUUUUCGGACCUAGCGGCGGACGGGUGAGUAAUGCGUAGGAAGCUGCCCGAUAGAGGGGGAUACCAGUUGGAAACGACUGUUAAUACCGCAUAAUGUCUACGGACCAAAGUGUGGGACCUUCGGGCCACAUGCUAUCGGAUGCGCCUACGUGGGAUUAGCUAGUUGGUGAGGUAAUGGCUCACCAAGGCGACGAUCUCUAGCUGGUUUGAGAGGAUGAUCAGCCACACUGGAACUGAGGCACGGUCCAGACUCCUACGGGAGGCAGCAGUGGGGAAUAUUGGACAAUGGGCGCAAGCCCGAUCCAGCCAUGCCGCGUGUGUGAAGAAGGCCUUCGGGUUGUAAAGCACUUUCAGCGAGGAGGAAGGGGUGUGUGUUAAUAGUACACACCUUUGACGUUACUCGCAGAAGAAGCACCGGCUAACUCUGUGCCAGCCGCCGCAGUAAUAC
rnacentral:rRNA from 1 species